rnacentral:rRNA from 1 species
AUUGAACGCUGGCGGCGUGCUUAACACAUGCAAGUCGAACGAAGUGGCGAACGGGUGAGUAACGCGUAAUCAAUCUGCCCUUCAGAGGGGGACAACAGUUGGAAACGACUGCUAAUACCGCAUACUGAAGGAGGGGAUUGCUUCUGAUUGGCUAGUUGGAGGGGUAACGGGCCACCAAGGCGAUGAUCAGUAGCCGGUAUGAGAGGAUGAACGGCCACAUUGGGACUGAGACACGGCCCAGACUCCUACGGGAGGCAGCAGUGGGGAAUCUUCCGAAAUGGACGAAAGUCUGACGGAGCAACGCCGCGUGAGUGAUGACGGCCUUCGGGUUGUAAAACUCUGUUAAUCGGGACGCGGUACCGGAAUAGAAAGCCACGGCUAACUACGUGCCAGCAGCCGCGGUAAUUC